GGGAACAUGUAUAAAGUAAACCUACUCUAGUUUACAGUAUAUCUUAUAUUGACAUCUGGGGGAAAGGGUGCAUUGGCUGAGCCAGGUGGUCUGGGGUUGUGUUGUGGGCAGUCAGGCAGCAAGACCAACUGUACUUGUCCGCUUUGUGGUCAUUAGAGGAUCGACUUUACUCGCUGCCACCAGAUUUGACUGUAGCCUGUACCGUCAUUAUUAGUGGAACCAGCAGCAGCUAUGACGUGAUCUGUGAGGCGACGGAUCACAGAUUUAACCCCGCUCAAGAUGGCUUUGAAAUCAACACGUCGACGGCAGUUGUACAUUUCAGUGUUAAUGACAUGUAUGUCAGUCACUCUGUGCGUGUUGUAUCUGCGGGAAAACAGCGUGCAGGGACAAGCACCUGUCCAAGCAGUCCACGUGAUAUCGCCAACGGGACAAAUUACGUCACUUCCUGAACAAAAUCAGAUCAUUUUGUUGUGCCGAACAUCGUUCAUUUUGUGUGGUUUGGAGGAGACCUUGAAGUUUCAUUUCAUCAUCUUUUAAGCAUCAAAUCAGCUUACAGCAUCUUAAAACCCGAUCGGAUUUUUAUUCACUGCGAUCACAAGCCAGUUGGAAAAUGGUGGAAAGUUAUAAAACAAAGUAUUCCAAAUCUGAGGAUAGUCGACAGAAAAGCCCCAGCGGAAAUCUAUGGAAUGUAUGGUGGUCCGUUCAGAACAUAAAUCCGACGUUGCUCGGAUACAGAUUCUGCAGAAUAUGGCGGAAUUUAUAUAUGGAUACUGACGUCAUUGCUUUGAAAUCGUUUAAUCCUCUAAGACAUUAUGAGAUUACAAUGAAUGGGUAUAAGUAUCACGGUCGCCCUGGGAGAUUAAACAACGGGAUUAUAAUCUCUGCUCCAAAUGCAACCUUCCUUUCAUUAUGGUUGAAUACCUACAAGAACUUCACACAAAACGAGUGGGAUUAUCACGAUUCUAUAAUCCCGUACUAUUUACAGUUUACUUAUCCGCAUUUAAUCCACGUGGAGGAAAAGACUCUGAACUACCCAGUGGGUUGGAUAUAAACCUGAUAUAUAAGGACGUCUAUGAUUGGUCGAGAAAUUACGCCAUGCAUCUGUGGUACAGACUCUAUGAUACUGAACACGGGCCGACUGGAAUCAGAACAAUGAAUACGACAUUUGGUCGAAUAGCAAGAUAUAUCUAUUAUGGUACUAGGGAUAUAUUGAAAUGAAUCUUGUCUGUAAAUGGGGAAUCACACCUACUCAUGUCACACGACGGAAUGCGAUGUCGCGGGCGAUGGUCCCGCCGUCCUCGGUGCUGCAACUCACUGUGUACGGCGGCAUCCUCUGGGACUGCCGGAAACCUAACGGCGUGUCCUAGUGUCACCUUGAAUAUGUUUCUAGGGUUGUCAGCAUCAUACCAACGCUCACACAGAUGAUCGAUUGAUGACGUAACUUGGUAAUUGGUGUUAAACACACACCCCAACACUCGCAUGGAACAUAGUCCUAUUUUGUUGUAUUUAUUGAUUUCACAGCGGUAGUCUUGUUUGGCGCCUUCAUAAUUACUUGUCACAACAGUCAGUCCGUCGACGACUUAAUGAUCAUGACCAAAUGUACAUGUGUGUUUUCUGGCUAUAAAUACGUACUUAUGUUUU
rnacentral:lncRNA from 1 species